GGGAAUGUGGCUUAGUGGUAGGUAGAGUACAUGCCUAGCAUGCAUGAAGCCCUAGGUUCUAUUCCUCAGUACCU
rnacentral:tRNA from 1 species